UUUAAUUACAUUGACAUAAUUAUCCUCAUAUUUAUUUGAAAAUACCAAAACUUUCCUUUUAAAAUUUAUAUUAAAUCAUACUAAGUUAUUUGCUUGUUGUCAUUUUUUUUACGUUGCCUACAUCCUGUGUUUAUUUUUUUCCUGUACUAUUUUUAUUUUUUUGUUUUAAUGUACUUUUUUUUACAAGAUACUUGUUUUUAUUUUUUACCUAUCCUACAACAUUUUUGGAUGAAUACUUUUUUUUUAUAUAUAAUAAAAU
rnacentral:lncRNA from 1 species